UGCAAGUCGAACGGGCUCUUCGGAGCUAGUGGCGGACGGGUGAGUAACGCGUGAGAAUCUGGCUUCAGGUUCGGGACAACAGUUGGAAACGGCUGCUAAUACCGGAUCUGCCUUAUGGUGAAAGAUUUAUCACCUGAAGAUGAGCUCGCGCCUGAUUAGCUAGUAGGUGUGGUAAGAGCGCACCUAGGCGACGAUCAGUAGCUGGUCUGAGAGGAUGAUCAGCCACACUGGGACUGAGACACGGCCCAGACUCCUACGGGAGGCAGCAGUGGGGAAUUUUCCGCAAUGGGCGAAAGCCUGACGGAGCAAUACCGCGUGAGGGAGGAAGGCUCUUGGGUUGUAAACCUCUUUUCUCAGGGAAGAAUAAUGACGGUACCUGAGGAAUAAGCAUCGGCUAACUCCGUGCCAGCAGCCGCGGUAAUACGGAGGAUGCAAGCGUUAUCCGGAAUGAUUGGGCGUAAAGCGUCCGCAGGUGGCAAUGUAAGUCUGCUGUCAAAGCGUCUGGCUCAACCAGAUAAAGGCAGUGGAAACUACAUAGCUAGAGUAAGGUAGGGGUAGAGGGAAUUCCUGGUGUAGCGGUGAAAUGCGUAGAGAUCAGGAAGAACACCGGUGGCGAAAGCGCUCUGCUGGACCUUAACUGACACUGAGGGACGAAAGCUAGGGGAGCGAAUGGGAUUAGAUACCCCAGUAGUCCUAGCCGUAAACGAUGGAUACUAGGCGUUGCCCGUAUCGACCCGGGCAGUGUCGUAGCUAACGCGUUAAGUAUCCCGCCUGGGGAGUACGCAGGCAACUGUGAAACUCAAAGGAAUUGACGGGGGCCCGCACAAGCGGUGGAGUAUGUGGUUUAAUUCGAUGCAACGCGAAGAACCUUACCAGGGCUUGACAUGUCCGGAAUCCUCGUGAAAGGGAGGAGUGCCUUCGGGAGCCGGAACACAGGUGGUGCAUGGCUGUCGUCAG
rnacentral:rRNA from 1 species